rnacentral:rRNA from 1 species
CCUACGGGGCGCAGCAGUGGGGAAUAUUGGACAAUGGGGGGAACCCUGAUCCAGCCAUGCCGCGUGUGUGAAGAAGGCCCUCGGGUUGUAAAGCACUUUCAGUGAGGAAGAACGCCUGGUGGUUAAUACCCAUCAGGAAAGACAUCACUCACAGAAGAAGCACCGGCUAACUCCGUGCCAGCAGCCGCGGUAAUACGGAGGGUGCGAGCGUUAAUCGGAAUUACUGGGCGUAAAGCGCGCGUAGGUGGCUUGAUAAGCCGGUUGUGAAAGCCCCGGGCUCAACCUGGGAACGGCAUCCGGAACUGUCAAGCUAGAGUGCAGGAGAGGAAGGAAGAAUUCCCGGUGUAGCGGUGAAAUGCGUAGAGAUCGGGAGGAAUACCAGUGGCGAAGGCGGCCUUCUGGACUGACACUGACACUGAGGUGCGAAAGCGUGGGUAGCAAACAGGAUUAGAUACCCCAGUAGUC